rnacentral:lncRNA from 1 species
CCUGUGGUCAGUUUGGGUCAUCUGUCCUGGUUUUGUUCUCUCACAACUCCCUGUGCACUCCCCGCCUGCCUUGAUGGUGAGACAGUACAAGACGCUAAGAAAACUGAAAUGUCCUCAGCUCUUUGCAGCACUGCUCAGCAACAACUAAAACAUCAAUGUUACAUCAACAUCAUUUUUCACCUAAAGCCAAAACAUAGGAUAAUACCGACCACUAUGAAGAAAAUCAACUAAUUCCCAGAUGAAAUAAGGACAUUUUUCAUGGUAAUUCCAGCGAUGAAAAGCAGAACAUCACUACAGUUUACCUACUAUGAUGGAGAAUAUUUUGGAAGCUAUCUGUUUGGUCAAGGAAAAGUGACACAGUAUUCUAAGGAAGCACUGAUGUGUUAUCUACUAAUAGCCUGCUUCUCAGAAAAUAAAACAGGGAGCUGGAAGUGCACAAGGAAAAAUCUCUGCUCUUGUGAGACACCACCUGGAGUACUGCACGCUGUUCUGGGGCCCCCAACACAAGAAGGACGUGGAGCUGCUGGAGCAGGUCCAGAGGAGGGCCAAGAAGAUGAUCGGAGAACUGGAGCACCUCCCCUACAGGGACAAGCUGAGGGAGCUGGAGCUUUUCACCCUGGAGAAGAGAAGGCCUCAGGGGAACCGUAUAGCAGCCUUCCAGUACCUGAAGGGGGCCUACAAGAGAGGAAUCCUGUAAUAUCCUGAAAUACUAAAAAAAAAAAUACUACAAAAGAACAGUUAGUAUGAAAAUCAGCCUGUGACAGAGCUCUCAUGCAAAACUGAAGACACAACAAGAGCAAAUUCAUCUUUUCUGUAUCGCUGGCAUGAGACAAAACAUUUGUGAGACUGUUAUGAAAGCCUGAGGUUUUUUGUUGGUUUCAUAAUGUAUUGUAGUUACAAGGUUUUAAAAGAUCAAAGGAUUCAAGUUCUCCAAAUACUUUCACCAUAUGAAUGUAUCUGAACUUUAAAAUAUAAAGAAAUAAGAAAGACAGUCUUGAUUUGAAAUGAAUAUUCCUAUAUGCAAUUGAUUUUUGUCAGCCUUCAUUGUCUUCUUCUACUUUUGGCCUCUGUGAAAAACUGUGUUCCAGUAAUAUUUUUAAAAUGGAAUAAUAUUUGGAAUAUCCUGUGCUGUCACACAGUAAAAUUAAUAGUGCUCUCAGUCAUCAUAUACAAGAAUAAAACCACUAGUUAAGGUCAAAAUUGACAUCCUGUACUUGGCUUAAUUUUAGAAUUACACAAUUAAGAACACUAGUGAAUUAAGAACUUUUUAGAAAACAUUCAAUUUUGAUCUUUGCUGUGUACAAAAAAAAAAAAAGAGCAUAGAGGAUAGGAAGUAGGACAGCUCUUAUAUUCGCUGUAUGUUUUUGAUCAUCUGCUACAAAUAACUGCAGGAGUACUUUGCUUUGAAUUCCCUUUGUUUAUCAUAAAGAUAAAAAUUUAAUAAAUUUUUGUUCACUGAAAUGAGAAUUUGCUGACAAAAAAAUUACAUUUCGCUACUUCCUGUGUGUAAAGAGGAUAUAAAGUGCUACUAAUACAGUUGGCUUUCCAUAUGCAAGGGUAGAAAUGGAUACAAGAGGUUGAAGACAGUGAAGAGGCAAAUGCACUAUUUUCAAGUUACCUAGUAUGCCAUCUUCUGGAAAUUCUUAUGAAAGCCAUAAUUCUUGUAUGGUCCCUUGCUAUCUGAUUUCUGGUGCUUCCAUUACUCCUAGAAAAGUGUCCACCAGCUAUCUCAAGGAAAAAUACGUAUAACCCUUCCUUAUUUUUAGGGGACAGGAAAAGUGAGGGGAACACUAUUUCAGCUGGACAGAUCUUUUCAAUUUGGCAAUAUAUUUAUGUAAGUGUCUUGUUUGUGUUGGAGAAAUUUUGCUUGAAUCAAGUAUAAAAAGAACUUGUAAUUAUUACUCUAUUUUGUAAAAACAUGUAACAGUGAUAAGUUGAAAGUAUCCCAGGGUCCACUGUGUGAAAAUAUUUCCAUUCUCUUUAGGGAGCAUUCGUGUUAACUUUUAGCAUCGUCUGAUUCCUACACUCUCUGAUCGGGUUUAUUUAGUAUUCCAUGAAUGGUGUGUGUAAUGUAUAGAAUCAGAUUUACUUAUUUAAAGGCAUUUCAUGUUACAAGGAACUUCUGAUUUUGCAGAGUGGUAUAAAAUAUAAUGAAAAUACUGUGCAAAUGUAAACUACCUUUAACAAAAUUGCAUUACACUGUUCAAACACAAUAGUAAUGUAAUUCCCAUUAGCUGUUUCUGUAACAUAAUCAUCAUCACAGUGCUAAAGUCCCCAGUUUCCAGAAAAGAAUACAUGGAGAAAAGCUAACUCAGGCUCAUAGAUCCCCUCAAAAUUCUUCUUCUAGUUGUUGGGUCUUUUUUUCCUCUCUUAUUGCUUAGUCGUAUAUUCACUCUUCCCAGACUGGUUCUGCUAACUCUCAGAGACAUUUACACUUUUUUUAAUGAACUGAGAGAGAAACAUUUAAACUACAAAUUCAUCCACUGAACUCUUGAUAGUAGUUUACCUAAAAUAAUGGAGAAUAAGCCAACGUAAAUUAGUCACACUCUGUAUUAUUCUCAUGAGCUUCAUGAACAUGGCAUGUUUGCCCAUCUGCAGAGCUGUCUUAUUCUUAUGGGUCCCUUCAAACUUGGGAUAUCCCAUGGUUCUAUGAUUCUUCUACUGUAAGCAUUCAUUCAGUGAAUCAUAAGUGCAUAAUGUAUCAUGGAAGAGUAUUUUAUUUAUUUAUUUAUUUAUUUUUAGUACUUGUGUUAUUUAAUAUUCUUUUGUAAAAAAAAAAUAAUAAAAAAAGAAAAUAAACUAUCUGUGUAAAAGCUUCCUGCAAAGUGAAACUAAAAAGAAAAAAAUUCUGCACAGGAAGGAGAUUUUCUGUGACCACAGGGGAUCCAAUCCUUAGUCAAAGAAGCCACAUGAAUCUGCUGCUUGCAGUGGCUUUUUGGGUGCUCUGUCUUCUGACACAUGCUGAUCAGAGUUUGCUUCUUAUCAAGCCGCAGUAAUUUCUUUGUUUUCAGGGGAAGAAUGUUACUUGUCACCUCCUUUCAGCUCCUCCUCAGGAAAGCACUUUAAGCAACUGCUCUGCUAGGGAUUUACUUAACAGAAAGAAUAUGUUUGCAUCCUGUUUUAAUCAGAAAAGCUGCAUGAAUUGCAGUUAAAGUUUGAAGACUGUGUAUAGGUCCAUGAUUAGAAAAAAAGUAGGAUUGAGGAGUAGACAGCAGCGGAACACUGACAUAGCAGUUGAUGUACCUCAUAUUUAUUCAUAGUCUAUUCACAUAAAAUGAAUUUUGUCAUGCUCUUAUUAGCUCCUUUUAAUUCACUACAACAUAUUAAACGAAGCAAGAGGCCCUUUACUCCACAUCAAGUCCAAUUAGCAUCAACUGGGUUUUUCGAUUUUGUUUUACGUGCACUGGAAGAAAACUACAGAGACUGUUUCUGACUGAAAUGUUUGCACUUCACCACAUGCAGAAACAUAUGAUGCUGAAGUGACACUGAGGGAUGGAUUCUGUGCUACAGCCUCUGCAUUGGGUAGCACUGGCAGGUCUGGAGAAAAAUCUACUGUUGUGAUCUCCAUCUUGCUUCCUGAAACCUGGGAUAGAACAGUUCUUCCUGAAUUUGCCCUUUCCAAAAUAACACUUGGUCAUGCAUUUGGUCUUAGGUAUUAAGAUUCAUUGACUCUCUGACUCUGAUCUGUUACUCAGAGAAUAGUUGUAUAGAUCAUCAGCAGAAACAGCUUUAUUGAUAAUACUAUGCUAUACAGCGUACGUAGUUCAUAUCUACUGCUUCCAAAAUAGAAAAUCAGAAGGUUUUUGUUUGUUUGUUUGUUUGUUUUAAGGCAAAAUUGCUUCAAAUUUGAUAUCAUGGAACAGUGUGUACACAAAGAUGUUAGAAUCCAUUAAAUGACUUUAUUGCAUUUACCUGAAACGUUCAUUCUUUUAUUAUUUAAUUUAUCCACAAGGAAAUGGGGUAAGAAAAUGAGGGAAUGGGAACUGAGGAAAGAAGAGGAGUUGCAGAUGAGGAAACAUACUUUCAAAUAACUCCCUAGUCAAAGAAACAAAAAUCAGGGACUCUGACACAUAUCAGCUAUGGAAUUAAGGGACUACUAAAAGAGGAUGGCCUGUUACUUUAUAUCUCCUCUCUUAACUGUGUGGGAUAUCAAGCUGCCUGUUUUGUGCAUUUAGUUGACUAUACAUAAAUCAAAUUUGAUUAAACUUAUUACACUUUCAAAUCUCAGCACCAAAUCACCUCUUCUUUAUGCUGUUCCUUUAUGCUGUGGUGUGUUCAGUGGAAAUGUGAAUAAAGUGCCACAAGCUGCAUUCAAGAAGUGUCAUAUAAUCUGGAAAAUUCAGUCCUGAAUAAUUUUUCCAAUAUAAAUUUGUAGUCUGUAGAGUUAAUGUGCACCUGAAGUGGAGAUAGUGCCAACAUACAUCACUAAUUUCAAUUCAAUUGUUUUCAUUUGCAUCUAUUAUUACAAUUUUGGAGUUCAAGCUUAUCUUUAAGAUUUUUGCUAGUAUUUUUGCAAGCAACAAGUUUUUUUUUGUUGUUGUUGUUUGGUUUUUUUGUUUGUUUUUGUUUUUAACAUGAGAGAUUAAGGUCAUAAGUAUUUAAAAUCAUUUAGACUUUAUUCUCUUUGGCCUUCAAGACUUCCACAUUCUUUGUACUUAUUUUUGUCAGUCUGGAUAUUCAGCUAUUGCUGUCUUUGCAGACAUUGUACAUUCUGAGAAAUAUGAAACACUGCUUUUGCGUAUUGUGUUAGCAUACUGCAUUUCAUGAAUCAUAGUUUAAUAAUCUUUUGUAGUUUGCUUGGUAAAUAUUUGUUGACACUUCCUGUUUAUUUGAUAUAUUGCCACGUUCUUCCCUUAGGUACUCAUUACAUUCCUGUAGAUCCAAUCAUAGCAUGCUAAUUUUUCAAUUUUUGUUAAAUAAUCUUUAGUUGUGAAAAUCUCUUUGUAUUUGUAUUACCUCUUUAAGAAAAUACACUUUUUGUUUGUUUGUUUUUAUGUACCAACUUCUUUAACAUCUGCUAAGAUGUUUUCCUAGAUGCUCAUAUAUUUUGCAUUAGAUAUGCUUCCACAAAAUUCAAAAUUAAAAAAAUAUAUAUAAGGAUUAAAUCAACUUUCAACAUGAAUAAAAGAUGCAGACUUUUUUAUUAGUAGUACACAUUCUUACAUUUCUUAAAUUAUCUAAUAAUGUUUGUAUAUUUUUACAAAGUUUUGAUUUUCCUUUUAUAUAUUUUGAUGUGCCAUUCACCAAUGAAAUCCUGAAUAGAAUCGCAACACAUAGCACAAAGUCUCUGGUAUGAGCUAUCAAAACAUUCAGGAAGAUAAUGUCACCUGUUAAGGAAAUAAAAACAGUUCCAGUGCUAUGGAGUUCAGAGAUGAUUAUGAAUGGGUUUAGAAAUGUCAACCUCUGCUUCAUUAACGAGGAUCACUGGGUUUGGAACUGUCAGAAAAGGUAGCACUACUUUCCUUGUUCUUUUAUUAAUUUAUAUCCUAAACCAGACACUAUGACACUUUGUUUAAGUAUUGUGAGCUCUGGUUUCAGCAUGCCUUUCUUAGAUCUCCUGAAGCUAUACUUUGUAUACAAGAGCUGAAGUUAUUCAACCCAAGCUGAUUUAAAGACAGCCUAUUGGGAUACCUUUCCUAAUAAUAUGUUUCAACCACCACAAGCGGUAAACAAAUAAAAAACAAUGAAUGUAGAAAUAUACCCAAUCUAGACCACUGAUUGUUCUAGACAUAUUGACUGUUUCAUCUAGCAGUCAUCAGAAUGUCAUCAACAUAGAAAUAAUUUCAUGCCGUUAAUACCACAAUAUUUUUUCCACCAUGAGACUGAAACUAUGAGAGUCUUAAACACCCACAUUUUCUAUGUCAAAUGCAGUGAUGGCUUGUCAAAGAAUCAUAGAAUCAUUAAGGUUGGAAAAGACACUUAACAUCAUCUAGUCCAACUGUCCACCAACCACCAGUAUUGCAUUUCAUAGCUAACAUCAGUGUAAGAGCAAUUUUCAUCAUAAGACAUAAGCUUUGUUUUUUCAGUGUAGUCAGAAGGUUGUUAUUGUUCUUCUUAUGUGUACUACUGCAUAUUGAGAAAAUCUCCUUUGUUGUGACAGAAUUAUGACUAAGCUCAAGAGCUCUCUCCAUGCAACCAAC